rnacentral:rRNA from 1 species
GANGNCGUAGAUAUAUGGAAGAACACCAGUGGCGNAGGUCGGCUCUUCUNGUCUGUAACUGACGCUGAGGCUCGAAAGCAUGGGUAGCGAACAGGAUUAGAUANCCCUGGUAGUCCAUNCCGUAAACGAUGAGUGCUAAGUGUUGGGGGGUUUCCGCCCCUCAGUGCUGCAGCUAACGCAUUAAGCACUCCGCCUGGGGAGUACGACCGCAAGGUUGAAACUCAAAGGAAUUGACGGGGGCCCGCACAAGCGGUGGAGCAUGUGGUUUAAUUCGAAGCAACGCGAAGAACCUUACCAGGUCUUGACAUCUAGNGCCAACCUAAGAGAUUAGGCGUUCCCUUCGGGGACACUAAGACAGGUGGUGCAUGGUUGUCGUCAGCUCGUGUCGUGAGAUGUUGGGUUAAGUCCCGCAACGAGCGCAACCCUUAUUACUAGUUGCCAGCAUUAAGUUGGGCACUCUAGUGAGACUGCCGGUGACAAACCGGAGGAAGGUGGGGAUGACGUCAAAUCAUCAUGCCCCUUAUGACCUGGGCUACACACGUGCUACAAUGGACGGUACAACGAGUUGCGAACUCGCGAGGGUAAGCUAAUCUCUAAAAACCGUUCUCAGUUCGGAUUGUAGGCUGCAACUCGCCUACAUGAAGCUGGAAUCGCUAGUAAUCGUGGAUCAGCAUGCCACGGUGAAUACGUUCCCGGGCCUUGUACACACCGCCCGUCACACCAUGAGAGUUUGUAACACCCAAAGCCGGUGAGGUAACCUUUUAGGAGCCAGCCGUCUAAGGUGGGAUAGAUGAUUAGGGUGAAGUCGUAACCAAGGUAACCGAAAGGGCGAAUCGUAACUC